CCGGCGCGGCGGCCAGAGGUGGCGCGGCCGGCGGGUCGCUGAGCGUGCCCCUGCGCCCCCGAGGCCCCGGGUCCCCAUGUCCCGGGUCCCCCGUGUUCCCGCAUCCCCGCUGGGGCAUCUCGGGACCGGCCUCGAUGGCCUCGGGGCAGAGCACCGCCAGCCCAGAGGCUUCCUGAUCCGGGACCGCGAGCAGGGCGCCGGCCCAGGUCCCCCCUGCGCUGUCGCAGCUGCCCAAGCUCGCCAGGACGGCUGCGCGCAGGACCUUCUCCAGAACCGGGUCCUUACCUGUGUCCUGGCUUGUGUCGGUCACGCACGCUCAGCGUCCCCACUGCGCCCAAGGCCUUCACGGAAAGAUUUCACGCAGAACACGGGAGCAUUUCUCUGGAAGGAAACCCUUCGCCGCUGUGAUGCCGCCCAGGCGUGGAAACCAAAUGAAACCAUAUAAAGAGCAGAUCGGCCUACUGUCGGGUGACGGGAGAGAAUUCCUGGGAAAAACUUCUAAUGCACUGAAAGUCUUGCUGACUUUGGGUUGGGGUUUUCUUGGGCCUGUUUUGCCCGCGGAAAGCCCUUCCCCACAGGUCACUACUCACAGCGACUCGGGUGGCUGUCGCUCAAGGGCGGUCGUUGGAAAACGCUUCCGGUGCAUAACCGAAACAACUCAACAGGGGAGAGUUGAACGUU